UACAGAGGGUGCAAGCGUUGCUCGGAAUUAUUGGGCGUAAAGGGUAGGUAGGUGGUCUCGUUUGUCUAGGGUGAAAGCCUGGGGCUUAACCCCAGAAGUGCCCUGGAAACGGCGAGACUGGAGUCCUGGAGAGGGUCGUGGAAUUCCCGGUGUAGCGGUGAAAUGCGUAGAGAUCGGGAGGAACAUCUGUGGCGAAGGCGGCCAUCUGGACCAGCACUGACACUGAGGCACGAAAGCGUGGGGAGCAAACAGG
rnacentral:rRNA from 1 species